rnacentral:rRNA from 1 species
AUGGAGAAGGCUUUGUCAGUUGGAGGAAAGGAGGUGCUCAUUAAUCCUCCGCACAAGGUCUCGGAGCACAUCAACUCUGCCACCGCAGCAUGGGACCGUGACGCCCUUGACGAGCACUUUUAUGCGAUGGAUAAGGAAGCGAUGUUAAACAUUCCUCUAAGCUCCAAGGUCCGAGAGGAUUUCUGGUCAUGGCAUUAUGAACGGAAAGGCAUCUUCACGACGGAGGACGCCAAGCUUUGGAUGUUAUGGCUUGUUGACAUGCUACCCUCGACACGCGUGUUUGUGACGAUGUGGGAAAUUUGGUGGGUGAGGCGUCGAGCCAUCCAUGAUAAUCAGUUUCAAAGAAAUAACAAGGAGCAACCACCGCUGACUGGGUGGGUCCCGCCUGAUAGCCACUAUGUGAAGAUGAAUGUGGAUGGUGGCUUUUCCAAGAUCAGAGACCGUGGAGCUUUAGCAGUGAUCUAUAGGGAUAAAAGAGGUAAUUAUCUUGAUGACUCAGCUAUUAUCUUUGAGGGUCUUCUGGAUCCAACAGUACUCGAAGCAUAG